rnacentral:rRNA from 1 species
GACGAACGCUGGCGGCGUGCCUAAUACAUGCAAGUAGAACGCUGAAGAGAGGAGCUUGCUCUUCUUGGAUGGGUUGCGAACGGGUGAGUAACGCGUAGGUAACCUGCCUUGUAGCGGGGGAUAACUAUUGGAAACGAUAGCUAAUACCGCAUAACAAUGGAUGACACAUGUCAUUUAUUUGAAAGGGGCAAUUGCUCCACUACAAGAUGGACCUGCGUUGUAUUAGCUAGUAGGUGAGGUAAUGGCUCACCUAGGCGACGAUACAUAGCCGACCUGGAGGGGUGGACGGCCACACUGGGACUGAGACACGGCCCAGACUCCUACGGGAGGCAGCAGUAGGGAAUCUUCGGCAAUGGGGGCAACCCUGACCGAGCAACGCCGCGUGAGUGAAGAAGGUUUUCGGAUCGUAAAGCUCUGUUGUAAGUCAAGAACGGGUGUGAGAGUGGAAAGUUCACACUGUGACGGUAGCUUACCAGAAAGGGACGGCUAACUACGUG